GAUGAACGCUGGCGGCGUGCUUAAUACAUGCAAGUCGAGCGAACGGACGAGAAGCUUGCUUCUCUGAUGUUAGCGGCGGACGGGAGAGUAACACGUGUAUAACCCACCUAUAAGACUGGGAUCACUUCGGGAAACCGGAGCUAAUACCGGAGAAUAUUUUGAACCGUAUGGUUCAAAAGUGAAAGACGGUCUUGCUGUCACUUAUCGAUGGAUCCACGCUGCAUUAGCUAGUUGGUGAGGUAAAGGCUUACGAAGGGAAUGAUGCAUAACCGACCUGAGAGAGUGAUCGGCCACACGGGAACUGAGACACGGUCCAGGCGCCUGCGGGAGGGCGCAGUAGGCAAUCUUCCGCAGAGGGCGGAAACCUGACGGAGCAAGGCCACGUGAGUGAUGAAGGUCUUCAGAGCGUGAAGCUCUGUUAUUAGGUAUGAACAGAUGUGUAAGUAACUGUGCACAGAUUGACGGUAACUAAUCAGAAAGCCACGGCUAACUACGUG
rnacentral:rRNA from 1 species